rnacentral:rRNA from 1 species
UACGUAGGGUCCAAGCGUUGUCCGGAUUUAUUGGGCGUAAAGAGCUCGUAGGCGGCUCAGUAAGUCGGAUGUGAAAACUCGGGGCUCAACCCGAGACGCCAUCCGAUACUGCUGUGGCUUGAGUCUGGUAGGGGAACACGGAAUUCCUGGUGUAGCGGUGAAAUGCGCAGAUAUCAGGAGGAACACCGGUGGCGAAGGCGGGUCUCUGGGCCGAUACUGACGCUGAGGAGCGAAAGCGUGGGGAGCGAACAGG